CCUACGGGUGGCAGCAGUGGGGAAUAUUGGGCAAUGGGCGCAAGCCUGACCCAGCAACGCCGCGUGAAGGAAGAAGGCCCUCGGGUUGUAAACUUCUUUUAUUCGGGACGAAACAAAUGACGGUACCGAAUGAAUAAGUCACGGCUAACUACGUGCCAGCAGCCGCGGUAAUACGUAGGUGGCAAGCGUUAUCCGGAUUUACUGGGUGUAAAGGGCGUGUAGGCGGGAGAGCAAGUCAGACGUGAAAUUCCAGGGCUCAACCCUGGAACUGCGUUUGAAACUGGCGAACUAGAGUGCGGGGGGGGUAAGCGGAAGUCCUAGUGUAGCGGUGAAAUGCGUAGAUAUUAGGAGGAACACCGGUGGCGAAGGCGGCUUACUGGACCGUAACUGACGUUGAGGCUCGAAAGCGUGGGGAGCAAACAGGAUUAGAUACCCUAGUAGUC
rnacentral:rRNA from 1 species